AGCUUUUCGAAUCCGUGCUGAGAUUUCAUCAGACACCAACCCAUUAGAGCUGACCAGACUUACGAGAUAAGUGAAGUU
rnacentral:pre_miRNA from 1 species